AACGAGAACCACAAUUUCCCAUAAUAACAGCCUUCUUGGAAAAAGAGAGAGGGGAGCGUUUGCAGAGACAGAGAGAGAGAUUACAACCCGAACCCGGAACCGAAGUGAAAAUGGGCAAGGAUCUAAGCGACGACCAAGUCUCUUCGAUGAAGGAGGCGUUCACGCUCUUUGACACCGACGGAGACGGCAAGAUCGCCCCGUCUGAGCUUGGGAUACUCAUGCGUUCCCUCGGUGGUAAUCCAACGCAGGCCCAGCUCAAGUCCAUAAUCGCCGAGGAAAACCUGACCGCACCCUUUGACUUCCCGCGCUUUCUGGACCUUAUGGCCAAGCACAUGAAACCCGAGCCCUUCGAUCGACAGCUCCGUGACGCGUUCAAGGUACUGGACAAGGACAAUACGGGUUACGUCACCGUCUCGGAUCUGCGCCACAUCUUGACCAACAUUGGGGAGAAGCUGGAGCCUUCUGAGUUCGAUGAGUGGAUCCGGGAGGUGGAUGUUGGGUCCGACGGGAGGAUCCGUUACGAAGAUUUCAUUGCCAGGAUGGUCGCUAAGUGAGAUCGUGAAGAAUUCGGGAGGAUCAAUUACAAAGAUUUCAUUGCCAGGAUGGUUAAGUGAGAUCGUGAAGAAUUCGGGUUGGGCGCAAUGCUUUAUGUGAAGUUUUGUUGACAUGAUCUUUACUUAUUGGGGAUUGUCAACAAGGUCGGGACUGAACAAUUGGUUGGCUUUGAUCUGUUAAGUUUCAAGUGUUUUUUUCCUCCCAUUUUGCUCUCUGUCACCAGCAGGUUUUUGUCUUUUUCUUGAUGCAAACUCUGAAGGCAUGAUUUUGGUGUACUAUGAUUUCCUAGACAAUUAUAAAUGUUGUGCAUCCUGGACUGGAGAUUAAAGAUUGAUGUUAAAAGAUCUGAUAAUGUUGAAAAUGAUGUGUUACAAUUUCGUGUA